CGGGGAAAGCGGGCAGUUGCAUUUAUUUUAUUAUAAAUGAGGAAAGUCCGAACACCACAGAACAGCACGCUUCGUAACGCGAAGGCAGUAACGCAAAGUAAUAAUUGAACAAUUAUUAACUGCAAGCUGACGGAUAGCGCAACAGAAAGUAAACCGCCAAUCCGCUUUGCGAGUAAUUUCCUACAGGUGAAUUGCUUGCAAAGGUCAUGGAGGUAAGGGUGAAACGGUAAGGUAAGAGCUUACCGCGCAAAAUAUCGGGCAACCGAAGCGGCAGGGCAAGCCCCGUGCGGUGCAAGACUAAAUAGGAAGUGAGUUGUACUAUUAUAGAAAUAUAGUAGCACAUUUGAGCUGUUCGUUCAAUGAUAUAACGAAAGUUAUUCGCUCAUUUCGGGUAAGUCGCUUGAGGGUUACGGUGACGUAAUUCCCAGAUAAAUAACUACCUCUUUGUUGUAAAUCUUCUAAUCGAAGUACUGCUUCAAAAAGACAGAAUUCGGCUUAUAGCUUUCUUCGCAUA
rnacentral:RNase_P_RNA from 1 species